GCCCGAAGCCGAUUAUCUAACCUUUUGGAGUCGCGAAGGUGGAAUCAAUAACUGGGGUGAAGUCGUAACAAGGUAGCCGUAUCGGAAGGUGCGGCUGGAUCACCUCCUUUCUAAGGAGA
rnacentral:rRNA from 1 species